rnacentral:sRNA from 1 species
UCCUCCACCAGUUGCGGGCAGAUGAAGUGGAUAUGGGCAUCGAUGCCGCCGGCGGUAAGGAUCUUGCCCUCGCCGGCGAUCACCUCGGUACCUGGGCCAAUGACGAUCUCGACCCCUGGUUGCGUAUCCGGAUUGCCGGCCUUGCCGAUGGCUUUGACGCGCCCUGCCUGAAGGCCCACGUCGGCCUUGACGAUGCCCCACCAGUCGAGGAUCAGGGCGUUGGUGAUCACGGUGUCCAUCACCGCCGCAUCGGCGCGCUGACUCUGGCCCAUGCCGUCGCGGA